UGCUGGAGCCGUGUGUGCUGGGCAUCACGCUGCCCUGCUGGUUUUCCACAAAGAGCUGCUGAGCACCCUGAGCACAGACCUUCCUGUGUGCAUUUCUUCCUUCCUGCCAGACCUGUGGGAUGAUGGGGUUUGCGGCAGCAAUUCCACCGCUGUGGGAACCAUAGAGAAAUCUGUUUUUCUUUUGACUUGGGCUUCUCCCUGCACAGCAUCUCUUGGCCAACUUGUGAUUAUUUACGACUGGAGCUACCUGGGACUCACUGAAGCUGUAAAGAUUCAGGCCCAGGCCAUCAGUCAUUAGCAGCACUGACAGGAAUAUAAGGACUACUACGGCAUACUUAGCGGCUAGGCAUGAGGACACUUGCAGGAGGUUACAGGUUAGCAGGGAGAUGCUCUAGGUUUGUGAGCUAUUUGGUUUUUGUUUGCCUCAUUCAUUCCUGGGGCCUGUAGGCACAGCCCAGGAGCGAUGCCUGGGUGCUGGCUGCCUUGUGCUGGCUGAUGUGCUUGGCUGGUGUGCAUGGCCACUACGCUGCACAGCCAGGCUUCUCCAGCACCACCUCCAGCCCCAUACAGCUCCCUGGCAGUGGACCCAGUACACACCAUAAGCAUGGCGCCCGGCGCAGGGCCAAUGUCAGUCCCCACAUCACGUGUGCUGAGGAACGAAUGGGCUCAGCAUGGCCCCAGGAACACAAUAACCACACUUGAGCUAGUGCUCAAAAUGCUGUGUAGAUGAUGGGGAUUAUUCCUUUGCUAAUGCUCUUAAGAGCUAUUCCGGAGUCUGAAGGAGAUGAAGGGGCUUAUUAUUGCAAAAUUAAUAUCCUGCAGGGGAGGGAUUUCAGUGCCAUUCCCCACACCCUGCUUUCUGGUGGCAGUGGGCUGUGCAGAAAUGGGAGCUGGGCACUAUGCUGCAUGGGGCUCAGGCAAGGAGUAUGUCCGUGUCCUGGCUUGGAGAGCCCUUUCCUGGCUGGAAAGAGGGAUGAAAAGGCUGCAGCCUCGGGGCCUUGGCUGGAGUCCUCCAGCUUCCCAGCAGAGCAGAACAUGGAUGGAUGGGUGGAUGGGGGGGUGAUCUCCACCACAGCAGCCUGUGAGGCAGAGCACAGCUACCAAAGCCAGCUCAGAGGCCCUUCGCACCUACUUUCAAGGUCUCUGCAGGUUGAUGGGGAUUUCUACGUAGGGAAUAAAGCUUUGCUGUGCCCGAGCAGCGUUUUUCCCCACCUUCUGUCUACCUUUGAACCUUUCAAAUCCCCCUCUCUGCAAAAAACCCCCCCCUGUGCCCCAUCUCCCCUCGUUGUGGUGCUCUCAGUCAGAUGAAGCAACAUCUCCCUUCCCUCAGCACAGGCAGCCAAGCAGAGGUGUGUUGCCAUCAGGACAGCACUAUAAAACUGAGAUGUCUCCUUUAAUCUCCUGUAGGUGUCUUUUCCAUCCAGGCUCAGCCCACACUGUCAUAAUGAUCUCCUGAUAUUGGCACAGCCACCAUGAGCUCUGCGGUUUGUUAUUGUGCUGCUGUGACACCGAAAAACACCAACUCUGGAGAAGAAUGGCAACUUUUCUUCUGCCUUGAGAGACAAGAAUAUCUGGAGGGGUUUCUCUGGAGGACCUCAGGAAAGUGGCAGCAGGGAGGCAGAUGUGUGCCUCAGCACUUCAGUUAUAUACAUGUGUUGAGUCCUUUGGAUGAGAAAAGACAACCAUGAGAUGUGGAAAGGGGAACAGUGAGCACAAAGGUAAUUCUCUGGCUGGGAUUUGACACUCAGUUUCUUGCUGCGGUAUAGAGAUUCUCUUUCAAAAGUAGAGAGACAUUAUUUUUGACUAUUUAAAAGAAUUUACCAUAGUUAAGUUUAUCCCCCUGCUGUGUUUUAAUCAGGCAUCCUUACAUGGAAACUUUGCUGUACAUCCUAAGUGCACUGCAGUGUGUUGCGUUGGUUGAACUUACGUGAUGAGAUCCUGUUGUCAUAGGAAAUACUGUUUGCAGUCCAAAACUAAAAGCAUUGCAUUCAUCCAGUUCCAUUAGUGAGCAAAGAAGAACUUCUCUGCAGAAGCUGAACUUCCACAAUCAAACACAAAAGUAGUAAUUUCAAGCCAAUGAACAUGGGUGAUCCUAUUUGCUUGCAGAAGGUUCCAUAGACAGAAAGGUAUAGAGGUAUUUUGUGACUAAAUUACUUAUUGCUUGGUCAUUUGCUUAGCAGUGUUGCUAACCAACCAGGGCUACCUUUGUAGAAGCUAGGAAGAUGUUUCCAACAUUUUUGGCACAAGGUCUCCAUGUUAGUUCUGUUCUAUACUGUAUUGCUUUUAUUUCAUACCCUACGUUCCCUCUGAACCCAUGUUUUCACAGCUCCAGUAGCUGGGACUUAGUGCAAGAAGUUGGUAAUAACACAGUGGAUGAACCUGCCCUCUCAGCAAGGGGAUUGAUGUGAAUCACCAAGUCUGCAUCUCCCUGGGUCAUGAGUGUACAGCCCUGCAUGGAGGGACUCGUCUUACUCAACUUCAGAAACCUUUUUCCAUGCUAAUCAUCUUGGUUGUUUCAUAGUUCAGGAAAGUAACAGGUCUUGCAUGUAUGUAGCAGGCACUUGCCUCAUCUGUAUCUUCCCAUAGAGUCUUGUAGGUCUCCUUGCUGGUGCCACCUUAUCUGCAGUUUACUGGGGAUACUGCAACAGUGUGUUCUCCCCUCCCUCCUUUCGUUCUCCCAACUUCAUCCUUCAGCCUGGCUUUGCACACAAGGCCUCACACAGGACGACAAUGAGCAACAGUACUGAUAACACUCUUGCUAAAACAGAUUAACUGCCUCAAAUCUGUCUCAAACUGGGGGACUGAAAGAACUGAUAGCAGGCACCUGGUUCAGCAGCUGAGGGCCAUAUGAGCAUGUCCCUAAAAACAGAGUAUGAAUAUGAGUCAGCCACCUUACUCUGUAAAUAGGGAGCAGCAGAAGAGCCCCUUGAGCUCUGCUACAUAACAGCUAGCUGCACAACAGGAUUUCCUCUUGAGCCAUCUCUUGAGGUUACAUCUGUGCAGAGAUCCCUUACACCUUGACGUCAAGGUGCCUUGCCAGUACAAUUCUCGACACCCACCCCCUAAAGGAUGCAGGAAGCUCCUUGGUCAUUGAAGCGUAGUCAGGAGCAAUUCAGAUUUGCAUCUCAAGACGUCAUUGUAAGUUGAUCCCUUGUGAAAUGCUUCCUGGAAAAGAUUCACAAGUUUCAGGGAGAAAUGUAGCACAAGAGAGAAGAUGACCCUGUCAGGAUAGUUAGGACACAGAUGGUCCAGGUUCUCCUUGUGGGUGCAGAAGACGUGGGGUCAAGAUUGAAGAUUUCAGCUGGGUCUCCCAUGCUUCCAAGCUUUUCCUUCAUUAGUCGAUUGGCUUCUCCUGCCUCCUUGACAUAAGCUGAGACAGCCUUUACUAACAUGAGCAGCUGGCCAGGUAGUUUGAUGGACAAUAAC
ensembl:lncRNA